GACUUCCCACUCCUUCCUCCACUCUCUCCUAUCCUUCUCCUACCUCUUCACCACGAAAUGCUGCUGCCCCAAGGCUCCAUGGCCGGCCAUGGCCAUGAAGAUCCACCAAGAUGAAGCUCCCCUCCUCCCUCAAGCUCCUCCUCACCAUGAGAGCCUCCCUCUCCUUCUUCUCCCCAACCCUAGAUGGUUUUCUCUCCUCUUCUUCUUCCUCCAUUGCUAAGAUUGGAUCUUGAUGCAGGUGCAUGUUGGUCCAAGCAUGGAGAAGCUUGAGCUAUCCUCAGAUCUGAAGUUCUUGAGCUAAGUUCGUCCAAAACCUUGCAGUAAUUUCUGUAAUCUUGCUGUUUCAGAUUCUGGUACAAACUUGUAAAAUCCGCCAAAACUCGUGUGCAGAUCCAAAUCGAGUGAUUCAAAGUUCUGCAGAUAGAUACGGAAAAGAUCUACAACUUGGCAUUGGUCUCAUCCUCAAAUUCGUUACGGAUUAUACGUGGUGCAAUCCCUCUUCAGUACCUUCAUUUUGGCGGUGGUUUCACUUCGAUUGACCUCCUGAAACAGAAAUGGUUCACAGAUCAAAAUCUGGUCAGAUCUGACUUUGUCGAAUUAAACCAGGAGCUUGGGAACAAAUUUUUGGAUGAAACCAGUGGGGGGAUGUUUGGUUCAUACCAUGGUAAUAACCGAGAGAGGCAAUUGCUAAGUUGUGAUACUCUCAUACCUUUACUAGACGCGAACAAUUCCGGAGAAGAAGAAGAAGUGGAAUCGAACGAGGAUUUUAUUUAUAUUGUUGGUAUUCUUAUAUUGAUGAAGAUGAAGAAGUCCAGGGACAAAUAAGCCUGAUAUGAUGUCUCUUUGGAUGUCAUCUUGUGCUAUCAAUAGCAUCUUGGUUCUAUGUGUGAUGAUCUCCAUAUUGUUGUCAUCUAUGCUUGGAUGCAAGCAUGGUACCUCUAGUAGUUUUAUCUUGUCAAGGUCUUGGUAAUUGGUUGGGUGUAUGGUAUCAUGGCCAUUGCUAUCCAACUUGUUUUCUAUUUUUAGCUUGAACAUGUUCCACCUCGGGACAAGAUUCAUACUACACCCCCUUCUAGUGUAGAGGUAUCAAUACCAUGAUUUUGGUGUAUUCUCAAAUUGUGAUGAGUAUGCCUGAUUCCCUUAA